rnacentral:tRNA from 1 species
GGGGGCUUAGCUCAGUUGGUAGAGCACCUGCUUUGCAAGCAGGCUGUCAGGGGUUCGAUUCCCCUAGCCUCCA